rnacentral:rRNA from 1 species
AUACGUAGGGGGCGAGCGUUGUCCGGAAUGAUUGGGCGUAAAGGGCGCGUAGGCGGCGCGGUAAGUCUGGAGUGAAAGUCCUGCUUUCAAGGUGGGAAUUGCUUUGGAUACUGCCGCGCUUGAGUGCAGGAGAGGUUAUCGGAAUUCCCGGUGUAGCGGUGAAAUGCGUAGAGAUCGGGAGGAACACCAGUGGCGAAGGCGGGUAACUGGACUGCAACUGACGCUGAGGCGCGAAAGUGUGGGGAGCAAACAGGAUUAGAUACCCUGGUAGUCCACACUGUAAACGAUGAAUGCUAGGUGUAAGAGGUAUCGACCCCUUUUGUGCCGGAGUCAACACAAUAAGCAUUCCGCCUGGGGAGUACGGUCGCAAGGUUGAAACUCAAAUGAAUUGACGGGG